CGCGCCAUGGCGGAGGAGGGGCGGAGCGCUGGGCGCUGGGCGCUGGAGCUGCAGGAGCUGCAGGAGCGGCUGCGCGGUGCGCGGGAGCCUGUGGAGAUUAUAAAAACACUUAAGGUACUACAAGGUUUGGAUUUAUCACUGGAUAUUUUAGUGGAAACUGGCAUAGACAAAACAGUUAACAGUUUUAAGGAACAUGCCACUGCUGGGAAUGUAGCUAAGAGUCUGUUAAAAGAAUGGAAAAAGCUUAUUUCUCCAGAAAGUAAAAGUGAUCACAGGGGAAGAAAAAAGAAUGCAAAUGAAAAAUGUGAGAUGAAAUCUUCUGUUUCCAAGGAGAUUAAGUCUUCAGAGAAUCCUGAAACAUCUGUACUGGCCUUUAGAAGUUCUAGUAGUGCUCCCAUUUCUCCAAAGUUGAAUAAGAAGCGUAUGUGUAGUGAAAAGACCCAUCAAAGUACAAAUUCUGAGUCUCCAAAAGAAUGUGAUAAUAAAGAAUGUAGCAGCAGUGGUUCUAAGCAUGCUUCCCAGGGUACCAAUUCUCAGGCUAAAGAAAGUGAGUUCAAACAGAGCAAGAAAAUUUCAGAAAAGCAGCAUUCCUCUGCAGCCAAUGAAGGCUUAUUACCCCUGAAGGAAAAGCCUAGUAAGGAUGCUUCCAAACAAAGAAAUCCUAAACGUGUGAAGAAACCAAAACAAAAUCUUGUCAUAAAAGACCAAGCCAAAUCAUCUAGUGAGGAGGAAUUUGAACCCCCUACUAUGUCUUUUGAAUCUUAUCUUACUUAUGAUGAGGUUACCAACAAAAGAAAGAGAAAGGCUUGUUCUACAGGUGCGCAGCCAAAAAAGUACACUGAACAGAAGUACAGCUCAUUACCACAAAAGACUUCAAAACUUUCUCAGGAAAAAGAGGGAGUUGAAUAUGUAAAAAAAUGUGGGAGUGAUCAGUCAGAAACUCCCAGUAAAAAGGCCAAAGUGGCAUCCCUCCAAGAGCUUCUUAAUACUCCACUACCUAAAAUUCUGCCAGGCAUCUCAGAAUCAUCUCUCCUGUGUGCUGCAGACUUUACAGCAUCCGCAGCACCUGUUGUAGAGGCACCCCAGCAAGCCAGUGAGAUAGUUCAAUUCACAGGACAGAGACUGAACUCUAAAAUGCAGGUUUACUCUGGCUCUAAGGCAGUCUGCCUUUCGAAGAUGCUUACACUGCAUGAGCAGUGUGUCCGCAUGCUUCACAACAAUAUUGAGUUGCUACAAGAAGCAGGAGAUGUGCCCUUUGAAAUUCUUGAGCCUGUACUAACACGUUGUACACCAGAGCAGUUGUUUCGAAUAGAGAAAUGUAAUCUGAUGUUUAUAAAAGAGACUGACCACUUGUGGAAGAAACACUGCCAAAGAGACUUCAAAAAUGAGAGCCUUCUGGAAUAUGAGUCUUGGCGUGAAAUGUACUGGAGUCUGUUUAAUCAGAGAGAAGAAAAACUGAAGAUCCUUACAAAAAAUAUUCUUUCAGCUCAGUCUGAGAAACCAAAAGGCAGGCAAGUAAAAUUGGCUUAUGUGAGUGGUGCAGCAAAACCAGCUAGGAACAUUUGCCGACAGCAAGAAAUCCAUGGGCCAGCAGGAUCUGUCAUCCAGCUUCAUCCCACAGAAAAGUGCAAAACAGGAAUUCUGGAAAUGAGAGACAGAAAUAACACAUUAUCAAAUCUGUUACCUGCUGGCAACAGUAGAAGUUCUAGCUCAGGUGUCAUGAUUCAAAAUGGAAAGAAGCCUACCAAAAAAAUAGCACCAAUCAUGAAGAAAACUUUGAAAUCACUGAGGAGUUGGACAAUGAUCAAAUGAGGCUGUGUAUUUGAAGCUUAUUUGAUGUGACUUUGUGUAUAUUAUGCUACAGUGAAUGGAAGUAAUGUUCAUAGGAAGAACAUUGUGCUACUUUAUCUAGUGAAGACAAGAUACUCCAAAGCAGCAGUAACCAUGUUACAAGACCACACCUAGCUCUGGUAGCCUCAGCGCAGCAGUCUACAAAGACCAGAGAGCAAUGUCUGUGCUUGUAUUUUUUGCAAUUUAAUCAGGUGUCACUUGUCCCUGUUAAAUAAGAGGAAGACUUGCUAGAGGGAAGAAUUCCCCAAAUGCCUUGCAAGAGCCCCAUGAUUUUCCAUAUGGGCUAUGUGAAAUAAAUCCUCUUGUCACACCAGUCCCUGCGGUACAGCCCGGUGACUGGCAGUGUGGCUGUGGCAGGCAGCAAACCUCCAGGUUUCGUUCAGGAGGAGCCAGCAAUUCACUUGAGAGUGCUGCUAAUAGCCUGCCACUUUCCACUACAGAAAACUAAGUGCAGAAGUUUGAAAGAGAGUGACAUUAGUUUCAAGAUGUGCCAUAAUGUAUUUGUGUACAGAUUAUAAGGCUCACUGCUUCUCUUCAUGGGGAGCUUCAUUGGCCCUUUAGACUCACCCUGUUUUUACCUGUUCUAAAUAAAGCAGGUUGUUAGGUCACCUAAAACUCUCUUGCUUGCAUGAGAUAAAACAUCAAAAUGGGUGUUCCAAAAAGUUAGAGAAACCCAGUGCUGCCAGGACAGAAAGGUGGUAAUGCUUACUUUAGGGGAAUGUUUAUAGGAGUCAUCGACUGAAGUCCCCCAGACUUUGAUUGGAGAAUAAAUCUGAGUGGAGAUGUUCACCCUAAACACUGCAGUGGAUGGGCGAUUUUCCAUUGCUUGGAUAAUCCCUUCAGAAUCUGUUUUUUGAGCAUCAGGAAAAGAUCCUAUCUCUUUAUUAAUGCCUCUGUAGUGCUUGUGUUGGAGUGGAAUGGGUGUCAGCGGAUGAGUAGCUGUGCAAAGGCUGUUUCCAUGACUGGUCAGCAGCUGAUAGCUCUGAAGCUGAACUGUUUAAAUCUGUGAUUAUAUGCAACACAUGAAAUUUAUUCUAGAAAAUUAUGCUGGAACAUGAGAAACACUGGAAUGGCAACAUGCACUCAAACAGUCAGAUGAAUUGCAAUAUCGCAGUCCAUUAAGUCCAGUAAAAAAAUCCGCUAUCAUUAAAGUGGAGAACCAAAGGUCUGUGAUAUACAUCUGUUAUUUCUCAAUAUGUUAAGCAUAGUUUGUGUCCAUUAGGACUUAAAAAAUUUAAGCAAAUCUGGUGAAUGUAUGGAUGAAUCUCUUCAAAACACAGUGUAUGUUGCUUCACUAUUUUCAAACCUCAGCAGGAUAUAGCCAGAAAUUCUGUCUUAUAUUUUCUGUGUUCUUUUACAGACAGCUGGGUUAGAUCUAGAUCACUGGCUCAGGCUGAUACAGACAAAAUUAUGUUGUAGCAUCCAGCUUAUAUUAAAGGAGAAUAGGGAUUUUUUUUAUUUAUAUUUUUGUUCUGUAGAGGAUGAGCCAUAGGUGCUACAUAACUUUCUGAAUGUUUUCAGCUGAAAAGAACAGUUUUUAUACCAUACAAAGUGGAAGCGGGGAGUACUUAGUCACCUCCAGAGACAUCUAAGGUUGAUUCUUAUAUCAAUAAUGGCUUUAUAAACUUUGUACUGUUGGAAAAAUCAAAAUGCAUAUUCACUGUUGUUUUUUUACUUACAGUGCUUAGCCAUUUUUUUCUCCCUGAAGUAGAAAGGAUGACAAUAUUUUUGCCUUUGUGCCUCUCAGAUGAAAACAGGCACUUUGAAAGCAAAUUAGACACAUGAGCAGGAAAUAAUGUGGUUGUUUUGUCAUUUUCAGCCUGCGUACAGUGAGGUUUCUGUCUGAUGGGCUGGUGAAAGGGAAUGCAAGGAUGAGUUGCUUGACAGUGUGUAAUCUGUCAAUAUAUAAUUUGUCAACAUAUAAUCUAAAGCAGCCUCUAGAGAAAUAAGUACAUGCUUUGUGGUUGCAUUCAUAAUGAAUUCAAUGAAAUGCAGAAACUUUGUAUAAAGCCUGGAUAAUCUAGCCAUAAAACUAUGCUAAUUGAAAAGAUCUUUCUAAUUUCAGGAUGGAGUUCUUGUGAGCUGGUAAGGCUCUAUGUAAAAAAAAAAACAUGUCACAGUGCUGUUGAAGGAAGAAAAGCACGUUCUGGUAUUCAGUUGUUUUGCCAGUUCUCUUAUGUUUCAGCACAGGUUGCAACACCUCUCAGAGUUCCAAGCCACUUUUUCCUCACCUGUCCCUGCCUGCUGUCUGUAAUUUAGGUGCGCCUCAUGAGCUCCUCCGUGAAGUUUAUAUAAUUAAAAUAACCUUUGUGGAGGAGCAAAGAGCAAUUCGGUUUGACUGGGAACCUUGACUUGACUUUGCUUAGUACAGUGGUUUCCUUAACACAGUGUAAAAUCAAAUAAGUAGCUGAGUAUGACACCAAUGGUCCAGAAAAUAUAUAAGAUAUUAGAGACACAGAGAACAAUAGUAGGAAUGGGGAGAAAAAUAGCCUGAAUUUCUCACUCACUCUCUUUGCUUCCACAUUACAAUGUGUGAAAGACAGCAGAAGCUUAUGUGUUGUUAGCCAGCAGGCAUGGCCACCCCAAAUGCCACCUAUCAUACAGGAACCUUUUAAUGCUGGGUCCAGAAAUCUAUGUUGGAUUCUCAUUCUGCUCUUUGUAAACACCAACCCAGAGAAGAAAAAUGUGUUAUAAUUCUGGAAGAGUCAGUCUGUGAACACUACAUCCCUCCUUCAAAGAAAGUAAAUUCCUGGUACUGCCCAGCACGCUUUUUGCUCGCCAUUUCAUUUUUAUGAGCUCUAAAUAUAGUUCCCACACGAAAAAGCUGAAACAUUUAAUGUCUAAGAUAGAACAAUGUGAACUGAUCAAAACUGGCAUUGAUAUAGCCUCUCUCUCAUCUCUUGCUCUGUGUUCCUGGCACCUUCUUUGCACCAAGCUGAGUGUUUUUCUGACGAAGCCAAGAGCCAAAUUGGUAAAAAUAGACUCCCAAACUGCUGACCAAACAUUUCCACCUCCUUUCUUCAAUCAGAUCUAAUGCUCAUGUACUAUAUGCUGUGUUGAUUCAGCAUUCAAAACCAAUGAAAUAAAAAACUGGUCUGUUUCUUUGUAUUUCUCAUAUCAGUUCGCUUUCCCACAAGCUUUAUCUUACCCUCUUACCCCACAGCUGUGACCAAUUGACCAAUGCACAGGAGAGCUUGGGGGAGGCCAAACAGAAGAGGGUUUUUUUUGUUUGUUUG